rnacentral:rRNA from 1 species
AGAGUUUGAUCAUGGCUCAGGGCUAACGCUGGCGGCGUGUCUUAGACAUGCAAGUCGAACGGACGAUCUUCGUGUAGCAAUACGUGAAGAAAGUUAGUGGCGAACGGGUGAGUAAUACUGGGGUAAUUUACCCCGGAGCGGGGCACAACCCAGAGAAAUCUGGGCUAAUUCCCCGUACGCUCGACUGUACACAAGUACAGACGAGGAAAGAUGGCCUCUACUUGUAAGCUAUCGCUCCGGGAUAAGCUCCUGGCCUAUCAGCUUGUUGGUGAGGUAACGGCUCACCAAGGCAUUGACGGGUAGCCGGCCUGAGAGGGUGAUCGGCCACACGGGCACUGCGACACGGGCCCGACUCCUACGGGAGGCAGCAGUCUAGAAAAUUGCGCAAUGGGCGCAAGCCUGACGCAGCGACGUCGCGUGCGGGAUGAAGUCUUUCGGGAUGUAAACCGCUGUCCUGGGGGACGAUGGAGCGCGAACCUAAUACGUUCGUGCUUUGACGGUACUAUAAGAAUAAGCAUCGGCUAACUCCGUGCCAGCAGCCGCGGUAAUACGGAGGAUGCAAGCGUUAUCCGGAUUUAUUAGGUUUAAAGGGUGUGUAGGCGGAAUUUUAAGUCAGUGGUGAAAUCUCACAGCUCAACUGUGAAACUGCCAUUGAUACUGGAAUUCUUGAGUAUAGUUGAGGUAGGCGGAAUGUGUAAUGUAGCGGUGAAAUGCUUAGAUAUUACACAGAACACCGAUUGCGAAGGCAGCUUACUAAGCUAUUACUGACGCUGAUGCACGAAAGCGUGGGGAGCGAACAGGAUUAGAUACCCUGGUAGUCCACGCCGUAAACGAUGAUUACUCGUUGUUGGCGAUAUAUUGUCAGCGACUGAGCGAAAGCAUUAAGUAAUCCACCUGGGGAGUACGUUCGCAAGAAUGAAACUCAAAGGAAUUGACGGGGGCCCGCACAAGCGGAGGAACAUGUGGUUUAAUUCGAUGAUACGCGAGGAACCUUACCUGGGCUUAAAUGUAGUAUGACCGUACCCGAAAGGGUAUUUCUCUUCGGAGCAAAUUACAAGGUGCUGCAUGGCUGUCGUCAGCUCGUGCCGUGAGGUGUCGGGUUAAGUCCCAUAACGAGCGCAACCCCUAUUGUUAGUUGCCAGCGGAUAAUGCCGGGGACUCUAGCGAGACUGCCACCGUAAGGUGAGAGGAAGGUGGGGAUGACGUCAAGUCAGCACGGCCCUUAUGUCCAGGGCUACACACGUGUUACAAUGGUCGGUACAAAGGGCAGCUACCUGGUGACAGGAUGCUAAUCUCAAAAACCGAUCUCAGUUCGGAUCGAAGUCUGCAACUCGACUUCGUGAAGUUGGAUUCGCUAGUAAUCGUAUAUCAGCAACGAUACGGUGAAUACGUUCCCGGGCCUUGUACACACCGCCCGUCAAGCCAUGGAAGCUGGGGGUACCUGAAGUCCGUAACCGCAAGGAUCGGCCUAGGGUAAAACUAGUGACUGGGGCUAAGUCGUAACAAGGUA